UACGGAGGAUCCAAGCGUUAUCCGGAAUCAUUGGGUUUAAAGGGUCCGUAGGCGGGCCAGUAAGUCAGUGGUGAAAUCUCCCGGCUCAACCGGGAAAUGGCCAUUGAUACUGCUGGUCUUGAAUUAUUGGGAAGUAACUAGAAUAUGUAGUGUAGCGGUGAAAUGCUUAGAGAUUACAUGGAAUACCAAUUGCGAAGGCAGGUUACUAUCAAUAUAUUGACGCUGAUGGACGAAAGCGUGGGUAGCGAACAGG
rnacentral:rRNA from 1 species